rnacentral:rRNA from 1 species
AUGUGUGUUCAAGCGUCAAGUCUGGUGAUGAGUUAAAUGCUUAUCGCUAAGGACAAGGCGUGACGAGGACCGAAUUUUAGUAGGGAAGCGCCAGAUGUCACACUGCCGAGAAAAGCUUCUAGUUAGUGAUUAAUUACCCGUACCGCAAACCGACACAGGUAGUCGAGGAGAGUAUCCUAAGGUGAGCGAGUGAACUCUCGUUAAGGAACUCGGCAAAAUGACCCCGUAACUUCGGGAGAAGGGGUGCUACACGCAAGUGUAGCCGCAGUGAAAAGGCCCAGGCGACUGUUUAUCAAAAACACAGGUUUCUGCAAAAUCGCAAGAUGACGUAUAGGGGCUGACGCCUGCCCGGUGCUGGAAGGUUAAGUGGAUGAGUUAGCUUCGGCGAAGCCCAGAAAUGAAGCCCCAGUAAACGGCGGCCGUAACUAUAACGGUCCUAAGGUAGCGAAAUUCCUUGUCGGGUAAGUUCCGACCCGCACGAAAGGCGUAACGAUCUGGGCACUGUCUCAACGAGAGACUCGGUGAAAUUAUAUUACCUGUGAAGAUGCAGGUUACCCGCGACAGGACGGAAAGACCCCAUGGAGCUUUACUGUAGCUUGAUAUUGGGUGUUGACACAGCUUGUACAGGAUAGGUCGGAGCCGUAGAACUCGGAACGCUAGUUUCGAGUGAGGCGCUGGUGGGAUACGACCCUCGCUGUGUGAACACUCUAACCCGCACCACUAAUCGUGGUGGGAGACAGUGUCAGGUAGGCAGUUUGACUGGGGCGGUCGCCUCCUAAAAAGUAACGGAGGCGCCCAAAGGUUCUCUCAGAAUGGUUGGAAAUCAUUCGUCGAGUGUAAAGGCAGAAGAGAGCUUGACUGCGAGACAGACAGGUCGAGCAGGGACGAAAGUCGGGCUUAGUGAUCCGGUGGUACCGUAUGGAAGGGCCAUCGCUCAACGGAUAAAAGCUACCCUGGGGAUAACAGGCUUAUCUCCCCCAAGAGUCCACAUCGACGGGGAGGUUUGGCACCUCGAUGUCGGCUCAUCGCAUCCUGGGGCUGUAGUCGGUCCCAAGGGUUGGGCUGUUCGCCCAUUAAAGCGGUACGCGAGCUGGGUUCAGAACGUCGUGAGACAGUUCGGUCCCUAUCCGUCGCGGGCGUAGGAAAUUUGAGAGGAGCUGUCCUUAGUACGAGAGGACCGGGAUGGACAUACCGCUGGUGUACCAGUUGUGCCGCCAGGCGCAUCGCUGGGUAGCUAUGUAUGGAUGAGAUAAACGCUGAAAGCAUCUAAGUGUGAAACUCGCCUCGAGAUGAGAUUUCCCAUUCCUAUAUGGAAGUAAGACCCCUGAAAGAUGAUCAGGUAGAUAGGCUGGAAGUAGCAGCGCCGUGAGGCGUGGAGCGGACCAGUACUAAUCGGUCGAGGACUUAACC